rnacentral:tRNA from 2 species
GCCGGUGUAGCUCAGUUGGUAGAGCGCCUCAUUUGUAAUGAGGAUGUCGCGGGUUCGACCCCUGUCACCGGCUCCA